rnacentral:rRNA from 1 species
GGCCUUACCUACCCUUGACAUGGAUGGAAUCCCGAAGAGAUUUGGGAGUGCUCGAAAGAGAACCAUCACACAGGUGCUGCAUGGCUGUCGUCAGCUCGUGUCGUGAGAUGUUGGGUUAAGUCCCGCAACGAGCGCAACCCUUGUCAUUAGUUGCUACGAAAGGGCACUCUAAUGAGACUGCCGGUGACAAACCGGAGGAAGGUGGGGAUGACGUCAAGUCCUCAUGGCCCUUAUGGGUAGGGCUUCACACGUCAUACAAUGGUACAUACAGAGGGCCGCCAACCCGCGAGGGGGAGCUAAUCCCAGAAAGUGUAUCGUAGUCCGGAUUGGAGUCUGCAACUCGACUCCAUGAAGUUGGAAUCGCUAGUAAUCGC